GAUGAAGAACGCAGCGAAAUGCGAUAAGUAAUGUGAAUUGCAGAAUUCAGUGAAUCAUCGAAUCUUUGAACGCACAUUGCGCCCCUUGGUAUUCCGGGGGGCAUGCCUGUUCGAGCGUCAUUUCAACCCUCAAGCUCUGCUUGGUAUUGGGCUCCGUCCUCAGGGACGCGCCUCAAAGACCUCGGCGGUGGCGUCUUGCCUCAAGCGUAGUAGAAAACACCUCGCUUUGGAGUGCUGGGCGUCGCCCGCCGGACGAACCUUUGAAUUUUUCUCAAGGUUGGCCUCGGAUCAGGUAGGGAUACCCGCUGAACUUAAGCAUAUCAAUAAGCGGGGA
rnacentral:misc_RNA from 1 species